AGAGUUUGAUCCUGGCUCAGGAUGAACGCUGGCGGUCUGCUUAACACAUGCAAGUCGAACGAAUCCCUUCGGGGAUUAGUGGCGGACGGGUGAGUAACGCGUGAGAAUCUGCCUUUUGGUCGGGGACAACCACUGGAAACGGUGGCUAAUACCGGAUAAGCCUGCGGGUAAAAGAUUAAUUGCCAAGAGAGGAGCUCGCGUCUGAUUAGCUAGUUGGUGAGGUAAAAGCUCACCAAGGCGGCGAUCAGUAGCUGGUCUGAGAGGAUGAUCAGCCACACUGGGACUGAGACACGGCCCAGACUCCUACGGGAGGCAGCAGUGGGGAAUUUUCCGCAAUGGGCGAAAGCCUGACGGAGCAAGACCGCGUGAGGGAGGAAGGCUCUUGGGUUGUAAACCUCUUUUGUCAGGGAAGAACACAAUGACGGUACCUGAAGAAUCAGCAUCGGCUAACUCCGUGCCAGCAGCCGCGGUAAUACGGAGGAUGCAAGCGUUAUCCGGAAUUAUUGGGCGUAAAGCGUCCGCAGGUGGCACUUCAAGUCUGCUGUCAAAGACCGGGGCUUAACCCUGGGAAGGCAGUGGAAACUGAAGCGCUAGAGUGUGGCAGGGGUAGAGGGAAUUCCCGGUGUAGCGGUGAAAUGCGUAGAGAUCGGGAAGAACAUCGGUGGCGAAAGCGCUCUACUGGGCCACAACUGACACUCAGGGACGAAAGCUAGGGGAGCGAAUGGGAUUAGAUACCCCUGUAGUCC
rnacentral:rRNA from 1 species